rnacentral:tRNA from 3 species
CGCGGGGUAGAGCAGCCCGGUAGCUCGUCAGGCUCAUAACCUGAAGGUCGUAGGUUCAAAUCCUGCCCCCGCAACCA